rnacentral:rRNA from 1 species
CGGGGUGGAGUAAUGUCUGGGAAACUGCCUGAUGGAGGGGGAUAACUGCUGGAAACGGUAGCUAAUACCGCAUAACGUCGCAAGACCAAAGAGGGGGACCGUUCGGGCCUCUUGCCAUCGGAUGUGCCCAGAUGGGAUUAGCUAGUAGGUGGGGUAACGGCUCACCUAGGCGACGAUCCCUAGCUGGUCUGAGAGGAUGACCAGCCACACUGGAACUGAGACACGGUCCAG